rnacentral:rRNA from 1 species
UAAUCAUUAGUUUUUUAAUUGAAGGCUAGAAUGAAUGGUUGGACAAGAAAUAAUCUGUCUUAAAUUAAUAUAUUGAAUUUAACUUUUAAGUGAAAAGGCUUAAAUAAUCUGAAGGGACGAUAAGACCCUAUAAAACUUUAUAUUGAAAAGUGAUAGGUAUAUUUUGUUUAAAGAAUUAUUACUUUAAAGUAUUUGGUUGGGGUGACAAAAAUAGAAGAUAAAGUAACUGUUUUUUUUUUUAUACAAUAAUGUUUGGGUUAGUGAUCCUAAAAUGGAUUAAAGAUUAAGUUACUUUAGGGAUAACAGCGUAAUUUUCUUUAAGAGUUCUUAUCGAUAAGAAAGUUUGCGACCUCGAUGUUGAAUUAAAGGUUCUUUAUGGAGUAGAGACUAUAAAAGAAGGUCUGUUCGACCUUUAAAACUUUACAUGAUUUGAGUUCAGACCGG